rnacentral:rRNA from 1 species
AUGAACGCUUGCGGCUUGCCUAAUACAUGCAAGUCGAGCGAACAGACGAGGAGCUUGCUCCUCUGACGUUAGCGGCGGACGGGUGAGUAACACGUGGAUAACCUACCUAUAAGACUGGGAUAACUUCGGGAAACCGGAGCUAAUACCGGAUAAUAUAUUGAACCGCAUGGUUCAAUAGUGAAAUACGGUUUUGCUGUCACUUAUAGAUGGAUCCGCGCCGCAUUAGCUAGUUGGUAAGGUAACGGCUUACCAAGGCAACGAUGCGUAGCCGACCUGAGAGGGUGAUCGGCCACACUGGAACUGAGACACGGUCCAGACUCCUACGGGAGGCAGCAGUAGGGAAUCUUCCGCAAUGGGCGAAAGCCUGACGGAGCAACGCCGCGUGAGUGAUGAAGGUCCUCGGAUCGUAAAACUCUGUUAUUAGGGAAGAACAAAUGUGUAAGUAACUAUGCACGUCUUGACGGUACCUAAUCAGAAAGCCACGGCUAACUACGUG